UGGCAUAUGGAGUUCCUGGGCCAGGCAUCAGAUCCAAGCCACAGAUGUGACCUACACUACAGCAACACCAGAUCCUUUAACUCACUAUGAGGGAUCAAACCCUCAUCCUGGCGUUACAGAGACACCAUGGAUCUCAUUGUGCCACAGCAGGAACACCUGCAGAUUUUUUUUUUCUUUUUGUCUUUUUGCCAUUUCUUGAGCCACUCUGGCGGCAUAUGGAGGUUCCCAGGCUAGGGGUCCAACUGGAGCCGUAGCCACCGGCCUACGCCAGAGCCACAGCAACGUGGGAUCCAAGCUGUGUCUUCGAACUACACCGCAGCUCACGGCAACGACGGAUCCUUAACCCACUGAGCAAGGCCAGGGAUCGAUCCUGUAAUCCCAUGGUUCCUAGUCGGAUUCUUAAUCACUGCGCCACCGCAAGACCAUUGGUUAACUGACAUUUUGAUUCGUGUUUCAUACAUUGUGAGUUCAAGGAGUUGUCGGGAGAGUUUCAGCAGGCAGGGCUGUUGCUUUUCCUUUAUACAAACAAGCCAGUCUCCUGUUUGCAAAGAUCCCCUCCAGUGUACCUGCAGGAUCCACUCACUAUAGCACUUUCAUUCCUCUUGCCCUGAGCGGUGGAGGGCGCGAGCCAGCAGUGUGCUUGUCGGGAACGCAACUCCUCCACAAAGCUGGCUAUUUCUUGGACCUGCAGGGGUGAGUCUACACUUCCGUACACUUCCAUCUCCACCCAGGCCAACAAUUUGCCACAAUCAAGCAUCCUUUUCUACAGACACAGGACAGAACACCUCCCGAGCUGGAUAGGUUCCUUUAUGGAGGGAACAUCAGGGAUGAAGAAACCCCUAGGCCCUAAACUGAGAGUCUCAGCUCUUCUCCCACUUCAAGGCCCAUCAAAAGUGGCAUCCUUGAGACACUUUCUCCUCAGUCCCAUUCCCAGGUCAUGCUCUGGUUCAGCCCACACCCUCCAGCCCUGGAAGAGCCUCAGCCCAGCGCCUCUGCCCAGCAGCCAGAUCUUUAUGUCCACAUACACAUGGGAUGCCUCAAGCUCGAGAGAUGGCAGGAGCUCUCAUCUAAAAUUCCUCUCAGGAUCUUCACGCUGGAAUAUGCUCCUUGUCAUGACUUCCCCAACUCAACUCCUCCAGAUGAAAAAAAAAAAAAAAACACAACAAAACAAAACCUUGAAAUGGUCUUUUACUCCCUACUGCUGCUCACAGCUGUAGGUGGUGCAUGAAAAAGUCCUGUAGACUCUAGGGAUGAAAUUAGGGCAGAAUCUCAUCCAAUCACGCAUGUGCCACGACCUCCGGGUCUUAACAUAAUUUUCCAGGAGUCUGUGGUGGUGGUCUUCUCUUGCAGUCUCCCUGCCCACAGCGCACCCGGUCUUCCAAAUUUUAUUUUAUUAUUUUAUUUUAUUUUGUUGUCUUUUUGCCAUUUCUUGGGCCGCUCCCGCGGCAUAUGGAGAUUCCCAGGCUAGAGGUCCAAGCAGAGCUGUAGCCGCUG
rnacentral:lncRNA from 1 species